rnacentral:rRNA from 1 species
CGGCGAGUGAAGCGGCAACAGCUCAAAUUUGAAAUCUGGCUCUUUCAGGGUCCGAGUUGUAAUUUGUAGAGGAUGUUUCGGGUGUGGCUCCGGUCUAAGUUCCUUGGAACAGGACGUCAUAGAGGGUGAGAAUCCCGUAUGUGACUGGUAGCCUAUGCCCAUGUGAAACUCCUUCGACGAGUCGAGUUGUUUGGGAAUGCAGCUCAAAAUGGGUGGUAAAUUUCAUCUAAAGCUAAAUAUUGGCCAGAGACCGAUAGCGCACAAGUAGAGUGAUCGAAAGAUGAAAAGCACUUUGGAAAGAGAGUUAAACAGUACGUGAAAUUGUUGAAAGGGAAGCGCUUGCAACCAGACUUGCAUGUAGCUGAUCAACCGGUGUUCUCACCGGUGCACUCAGUUGCGUUCAGGCCAGCAUCGGUUUCGACGGUUGGAUAAAGGCCUUGGGAAUGUAGCUCCUUUCGGGGAGUGUUAUAGCCCAGGGUGCAAUGCAGCCUGUCGGGACCGAGGACCGCGCUUCGGCUAGGAUGCUGGCGUAAUGGUUGUAAGCGACCCGUCUUGAAACACGGACCAAGGAGUCUAACAUCUAUGCGAGUGUUUGGGUGUCAAACCCAUACGCGUAAUGAAAGUGAACGGAGGUGAGAACCCUUAAGGGUGCAUCAUCGACCGAUCCUGAUGUCUUCGGAUGGAUUUGAGUAAGAGCAUAGCUGUUGGGACCCGAAAGAUGGUGAACUAUGCCUGAAUAGGGUGAAGCCAGAGGAAACUCUGGUGGAGGCUCGCAGCGGUUCUGACGUGCAAAUCGAUCGUCAAAUUUGGGUAUAG